rnacentral:tRNA from 1 species
GCCUGUGUAGCUCAGUCGGUAGAUCAGCGGUUUCGUAAACCGCAGGUCACCGGUUCGAUUCCGGUCGCUGGCU